rnacentral:lncRNA from 1 species
ACUGGAACUAUUUCAUUAUCUUUCAAAAAUUUGUCAUCUCUCAAUGUCAUAAAUCUUGAAGGCAACAUGCUGCAUACGCACUUAAUAGAGAAGGUAGUAACUUACCAGAUCAUCUGCAAUUAUUUUUGUCAUAAGACCACAUUAACAACUUGAAUAUAAUGGUUUAUAUAUUGUCUUAUUGGUUUACGUCUAUUACUCUAUAUU